rnacentral:sRNA from 1 species
GCUGGGCGUGGUGGUGCACACCUGUAAUCCCAGCUACUCGGGAGGCUGAGGCAGGAGAAUUGCUUGAACCUGGGAGCUGGAGGUUGCAGUGAGCCGAGAUGGUGCCACUGCACUCCAGCCUGGGAGAUAGAGUGAGACUCUGUCUCAA